UACGUAGGGUCCGAGCGUUGUCCGGAAUUACUGGGCGUAAAGAGCUCGUAGGUGGUUUGUCGCGUUGUUCGUGAAAACUCACAGCUUAACUGUGGGCGUGCGGGCGAUACGGGCGGACUAGAAUUCGGUAGGGGAGACUGGAAUUCCUGGUGUAGCGGUGAAAUGCGCAGAUAUCAGGAGGAACACCGGUGGCGAAGGCAGAUCUCUGGGGCCGUAACUGACGCUGAGGAGCGAAAGCAUGGGGAGCGAACAGG
rnacentral:rRNA from 1 species